rnacentral:ribozyme from 13 species
AACGAAAACGAAAUUAAAAAACAAGAAGAAACCAUGUAAUGCCCAUCUUUAUACUAUCCUUUUCUUUUCUUUU